CCGUAGCAUCACGACUCUCUCUCUCUCUCUCUCUCCUUGACUUGUGAGUACUACGGCUCCCCGUAGCAUCACAACACCCUCUGAAUGGCGAAUACUACAGCUCCCCGUAGCAUCACGACUCUCUCUCUGACUUGUGAGUACUACGACUCCCCGUAGCAUCACAACACCCUCUGACUGGCGAAUACUACGGCUCCCCGUAGCAUCACCCUAUACUCUCAUUCUCAUUACAACGCCACACUAUGUUCACUAACUCAUGCACCGAAGACUAUCAUAGAUAGUUACACACACUUGCCCCGAUAUUCAUUACAGACUCUGGCGGCAACCGCCAUAACACAGAACCUAUCUCUACGGAGAUCCACUUCCUUAAAUAAUCCCUCUUGAUGACAAUACAUGAAGGGCUCCCACUGGAACCGUGGAUACAUGAUACAUCACUAGCCAUCUUAAACCCAAGACUCUAAAUAACUCCGAAAUCGGGACGCUAUACUCGGAAACCACGGAACACCCUAACAGAGCAUCACAAUGUCCUGC
rnacentral:lncRNA from 1 species